rnacentral:tRNA from 1 species
GAAGCGUAUGAACACUCAGACCUGCUAACUCUGACAUCUGAGGAUAAUAUCCCCAGGCCUCUUA